CCGUAGCGCUUGUUGGGGGGUGCCGGGCAGCAGGGGGCGGCCCCAUAAGUGGGGUUUUGUGCGUCCCCUGGCCUCGGCGGGCGGUUGGAGGGACCCCCUGUAAUCAGGCGGGUAUCCCUGGCCCCGGCCUUUCAGAGGCGUGGGGCCAGGAGUCAUGGGGCCGGGCGUGUGCCCUCCCCGUCCUCGGGGCUGGGCUCGCGGGCCCUGGGGCCACGCGGCUUUAGGCCGUGGGCUCCACUGCCUGACCCUAGAGUCUGGUUACUGUUGCCUUGGGGGAAGGCCGAGCUCCGUGGCUCCCUGGGUGUGGACCGGCCUGUAAGCAGGCUGCGGGUCUGGGAGCCUUUGUGCUCCCUUCAGCUGGCAGCCUGCCUGGGGCGCCCGCCCCGUUAGCGGGGAGCGCCCCGGAACUGGAGAAAAGGAGCCUCCAUAGGCCCAGCGGGCCAGAGCCGCCCUGUAAGUCGGGGCCAGUGCUCUGGAGUCCCGGGCACUUUGCAGUCCAGGCAGCGGCUUGAGCCCCCUGUAAGCAGGGCUGCAGCCUCUUGGCCGCUGCUUUGCAUGCCCAGCUUCAUUUGCCCAGAGGGCCCGGCUCCCAGCGCGGCGUGGGACUGCGCCGGACGUCGCCAUGAAGCCCUGGGACGGCGAGGCAAGAUCGAGCCGCCGGAGCAGCGUCUGCGGGCUCAAGAGCGGAACGGCGAGGCAAGAUCGAGCCGCAGGAGCGGCGUCUGCGGGCUCAAGAGUGGAACGGCGAGGCAAGAGCAAGCUUCAGCAUUGGCUUCUUUGAGCUCAGGAGCGGAACAGCGAGAAGCCGUGGGACCACGAGGCAAGAGCGGCAGUGUCUUCGAGCUCAAGUGUGGAACGGCGCGGCAAGAGCGAGCUUGGAGCUGAAGAGGAGCACAAAGGGCCCUCUGGGCAAAAAGGGCUUCUCCAGGCCAGGGCACCUUCAGGGUGCCGCGGCCGGCUUUGCGCUGGGCGACCUCCCUGCGUGCAGGGCUGGUCUUUGCUGUGGUUGGCCUUUUGCCGUUGUGCUCCUUUGGCUGCCCGGAGAGAGGGGCAACCCUGUAAGGAGGGUGAGAGCCCCUGUCUCCGCACCUGAGGGGGGGAAACGGAGCUCGCCCGGCCCCCAGCCCAGCUCCCCUGUAAGCAGGGUAGGGCAGGGCUUUUCCUCAGCCCCGGCAGCUUUCUGCCUGCCGCUGCCCCCGGCCCAGCGUGACCCCCUGUACUCGGGGCGUGUCACAGCCUGUUUUCCUUUUCCAGCCCUGAAGCGCCUCAGGCCCUGUGGCCUCCUCUGAGACCUGCACGGGGCAGGUCUGAUGCUUUCUCGUCCCGCUCUGCAUUAGGAAUGGCUCCCUAGAGCAGGUUGGCUGCACAGAACUUGCUCCCUCUUCUGGGACUGUCUUCCCCUCCCCUGUGUUCCCCUUCCCUGUGUUCCCCUAAGUUGGUGUGAGUGAGGAAGCGUGCUUGUGCUUUAGCCCCGCCUUUAGAAAUAGAGCAGUGUAGCUUAGACUUCCCAGGAGGGAAAGAGGAGCUCUGUGCAGCCACAGGCGGGUGCCCAAAAUGCACGGGUGGAGAAAGCAUCCGGCCUUGCCCCUGCUUUCUGAGGACGGCGCCAAGCCCCUUAGCGGCAGCGUGGGCAGCGUGACCCACCUGUAGCCAGGGCCUGGGCGGGCGCCCACGCUGCCGGUGGUGCUGGUGAGCUGCCAGCGUGCGGGCCCUGUACUCGGGGCACGUGUCAGGACCUUUUGCAGCGCCCUUUGUCCCCAGGAGCAGCCCCUCCCAGGUCCCUGUAAGCAGGGCUGGGGAGGCUCCUUUAGCCGGGUGACAGGAACCAGCGCUCCCGGGCCCUUGCCAGGGGGCAGGCUGAAGAAGCGCUGUGCCGCAGAGCACGGUCCCGCCUUUGCCAUUGCUAUGGGCUGGCGGCGCGUUCCUGGCGGCCUUGUUGAGGAGGCUCCCGGGGCUCCUGCAGACGGCUGCGUUGCCGUGCCGCGCUGCGGCCGGGCUGCGGCCUGUCCCUAAGUGGGGCGCAGGCCGCAGCCCGUGCUCCGUAGCGCUUGUUGGGGGGUGCCGGGCAGCAGGGGGCGGCCCCGUAAGUGGGGUUUUGUGCGUCCCCUGGCCUCGGCGGGCGGUUGGAGGGACCCCCUGUAAUCAGGCGGGUAUCCCUGGCCCCGGCCUUUCAGAGGCGUGGGGCCAGGAGUCAUGGGGCCGGGCGUGUGCCCUCCCCGUCCUCGGGGCUGGGCUCGCGGGCCCUGGGGCCACGCGGCUUUAGGCCGUGGGCUCCACUGCCUGACCCUAGAGUCUGGUUCCUGUUGCCUUGGGGGAAGGCCGAGCUCCGUGGCUCCCUGGGUGUGGACCGGCCUGUAAGCAGGCUGCGGGUCUGGGAGCCUUUGUGCUCCCUUCAGCUGGCAGCCUGCCUGGGGCGCCCGCCCCGUUAGCCGGGAGCGCCCCGGAACUGGAGAAAAGGAGCCUCCAUAGGCCCAGCGGGCCAGAGCCGCCCUGUAAGUCGGGGCCAGUGCUCUGGAGUCCCGGGCACUUUGCAGUCCAGGCAGCGGCUUGAGCCCCCUGUAAGCAGGGCUGCAGCCUCUUGGCCGCUGCUUUGCAUGCCCAGCUUCAUUUGCCCAGAGGGCCCGGCUCCCAGCGCGGCGUGGGACUGCACCGGACGUCGCCAUGAAGCCCUGGGACGGCGAGGCAAGAGCGAGCCGCAGGAGCGGCGUCUGCGGGCUCAAGAGCGGAACGGCGAGGCAAGAUCGAGCCGCCGGAGCGGCGUCUGCGGGCUCAAGAGUGGAACGGCGAGGCAAGAGCAAGCUUCAGCAUUGGCUUCUUUGAGCUCAGGAGCGGAACAGCGAGAAGCCGUGGGACCACGAGGCAAGAGCGGCAGUGUCUUCGAGCUCAAGUGUGGAACGGCGCGGCAAGAGCGAGCUUGGAGCUGAAGAGGAGCACAAAGGGCCCUCUGGGCAAAAAGGGCUUCUCCAGGCCAGGGCACCUUCAGGGUGCCGCGGCCGGCUUUGCGCUGGGCGACCUCCCUGCGUGCAGGGCUGGUCUUUGCUGUGGUUGGCCUUUUGCCGUUGUGCUCCUUUGGCUGCCCGGAGAGAGGGGCAACCCUGUAAGGAGGGUGAGAGCCCCUGUCUCCGCACCUGAGGGGGGGAAACGGAGCUCGCCCGGCCCCCAGCCCAGCUCCCCUGUAAGCAGGGUAGGGCAGGGCUUUUCCUCAGCCCCGGCAGCUUUCUGCCUGCCGCUGCCCCCGGCCCAGCGUGACCCCCUGUACUCGGGGCGUGUCACAGCCUGUUUUCCUUUUCCAGCCCUGAAGCGCCUCAGGCCCUGUGGCCUCCUCUGAGACCUGCACGGGGCAGGUCUGAUGCUUUCUCGUCCCGCUCUGCAUUAGGAAUGGCUCCCUAGAGCAGGUUGGCUGCACAGAACUUGCUCCCUCUUCUGGGACUGUCUUCCCCUCCCCUGUGUUCCCCUUCCCUGUGUUCCCCUAAGUUGGUGUGAGUGAGGAAGCGUGCUUGUGCUUUAGCCCCGCCUUUAGAAAUAGAGCAGUGUAGCUUAGACUUCCCAGGAGGGAAAGAGGAGCUCUGUGCAGCCACAGGCGGGUGCCCAAAAUGCACGGGUGGAGAAAGCAUCCGGCCUUGCCCCUGCUUUCUGAGGACGGCGCCAAGCCCCUUAGCGGCAGCGUGGGCAGCGUGACCCACCUGUAGCCAGGGCCUGGGCGGGCGCCCACGCUGCCGGUGGUGCUGGUGAGCUGCCAGCGUGCGGGCCCUGUACUCGGGGCACGUGUCAGGACCUUUUGCAGCGCCCUUUGUCCCCAGGAGCAGCCCCUCCCAGGUCCCUGUAAGCAGGGCUGGGGAGGCUCCUUUAGCCAGGUGACAGGAACCAGCGCUCCCGGGCCCUUGCCAGGGGGCAGGCUGAAGAAGCGCUGUGCCGCAGGGCACGGUCCCGCCUUUGCCAUUGCUAUGGGCUGGCGGCGCGUUCCUGGCGGCCUUGUUGAGGAGGCUCCCGGGGCUCCUGCAGACGGCUGCGUUGCCGUGCCGCGCUGCGGCCGGGCUGCGGCCUGUCCCUAAGUGGGGCGCAGGCCGCAGCCCGUGCUCCGUAGCGCUUGUUGGGGGGUGCCGGGCAGCAGGGGGCGGCCCCGUAAGUGGGGUUUUGUGCGUCCCCUGGCCUCGGCGGGCGGUUGGAGGGACCCCCUGUAAUCAGGCGGGUAUCCCUGGCCCCGGCCUUUCAGAGGCGUGGGGCCAGGAGUCAUGGGGCCGGGCGUGUGCCCUCCCCGUCCUCGGGGCUGGGCUCGCGGGCCCUGGGGCCACGCGGCUUUAGGCCGUGGGCUCCACUGCCUGACCCUAGAGUCUGGUUCCUGUUGCCUUGGGGGAAGGCCGAGCUCCGUGGCUCCCUGGGUGUGGACCGGCCUGUAAGCAGGCUGCGGGUCUGGGAGCCUUUGUGCUCCCUUCAGCUGGCAGCCUGCCUGGGGCGCCCGCCCCGUUAGCGGGGAGCGCCCCGGAACUGGAGAAAAGGAGCCUCCAUAGGCCCUGCGGGCCAGAGCCGCCCUGUAAGUCGGGGCCAGUGCUCUGGAGUCCCGGGCACUUUGCAGUCCAGGCAGCGGCUUGAGCCCCCUGUAAGCAGGGCUGCAGCCUCUUGGCCGCUGCUUUGCAUGCCCAGCUUCAUUUGCCCAGAGGGCCCGGCUCCCAGCGCGGCGUGGGACUGCGCCGGACGUCGCCAUGAAGCCCUGGGACGGCGAGGCAAGAUCGAGCCGCAGGAGCGGCGUCUGCGGGCUCAAGAGCGGAACGGCGAGGCAAGAUCGAGCCGCAGGAGCGGCGUCUGCGGGCUCAAGAGCGGAACGGCGAGGCAAGAUCGAGCCGCCGGAGCGGCGUCUGCGGGCUCAAGAGCGGAACGGCGAGGCAAGAUCGAGCCGCCGGAGCGGCGUCUGCGGGCUCAAGAGUGGAACGGCGAGGCAAGAGCAAGCUUCAGCAUUGGCUUCUUUGAGCUCAGGAGCGGAACAGCGAGAAGCCCUGGGACGGCGAGGCAAGAGCGAGCCGCAGGAGCGGCGUCUGCGGGCUCAAGAGCGGAACGGCGAGGCAAGAUCGAGCCGCCGGAGCGGCGUCUGCGGGCUCAAGAGUGGAACGGCGAGGCAAGAGCAAGCUUCAGCAUUGGCUUCUUUGAGCUCAGGAGCGGAACAGCGAGAAGCCCUGGGACGGCGAGGCAAGAUCGAGCCGCAGGAGCGGCGUCUGCGGGCUCAAGAGCGGAACGGCGAGGCAAGAUCGAGCCGCCGGAGCGGCGUCUGCGGGCUCAAGAGCGGAACGGCGAGGCAAGAUCGAGCCGCCGGAGCGGCGUCUGCGGGCUCAAGAGCGGAACGGCGAGGCAAGAUCGAGCCGCCGGAGCGGCGUCUGCGGGCUCAAGAGUGGAACGGCGAGGCAAGAGCAAGCUUCAGCAUUGGCUUCUUUGAGCUCAGGAGCGGAACAGCGAGAAGCCCUGGGACGGCGAGGCAAGAGCGAGCCGCAGGAGCGGCGUCUGCGGGCUCAAGAGCGGAACGGCGAGGCAAGAUCGAGCCGCCGGAGCGGCGUCUGCGGGCUCAAGAGCGGAACGGCGAGGCAAGAUCGAGCCGCCGGAGCGGCGUCUGCGGGCUCAAGAGUGGAAUGGCGAGGCAAGAGCAAGCUUCAGCAUUGGCUUCUUUGAGCUCAGGAGCGGAACAGCGAGAAGCCCUGGGACGGCGAGGCAAGAUCGAGCCGCAGGAGCGGCGUCUGCGGGCUCAAGAGCGGAACGGCGAGGCAAGAUCGAGCCGCAGGAGCGGCGUCUGCGGGCUCAAGAGCGGAACGGCGAGGCAAGAUCGAGCCGCCGGAGCGGCGUCUGCGGGCUCAAGAGUGGAACGGCAAGGCAAGAGCAAGCUUCAGCAUUGGCUUCUUUGAGCUCAGGAGCGGAACAGCGAGAAGCCGUGGGACCACGAGGCAAGAGCGGCAGUGUCUUCGAGCUCAAGUGUGGAACGGCGCGGCAAGAGCGAGCUUGGAGCUGAAGAGGAGCACAAAGGGCCCUCUGGGCAAAAAGGGCUUCUCCAGGCCAGGGCACCUUCAGGGUGCCGCGGCCGGCUUUGCGCUGGGCGACCUCCCUGCGUGCAGGGCUGGUCUUUGCUGUGGUUGGCCUUUUGCCGUUGUGCUCCUUUGGCUGCCCGGAGAGAGGGGCAACCCUGUAAGGAGGGUGAGAGCCCCUGUCUCCGCACCUGAGGGGGGGAAACGGAGCUCGCCCGGCCCCCAGCCCAGCUCCCCUGUAAGCAGGGUAGGGCAGGGCUUUUCCUCAGCCCCGGCAGCUUUCUGCCUGCCGCUGCCCCCGGCCCAGCGUGACCCCCUGUACUCGGGGCGUGUCACAGCCUGUUUUCCUUUUCCAGCCCUGAAGCGCCUCAGGCCCUGUGGCCUCCUCUGAGACCUGCACGGGGCAGGUCUGAUGCUUUCUCGUCCCGCUCUGCAUUAGGAAUGGCUCCCUAGAGCAGGUUGGCUGCACAGAACUUGCUCCCUCUUCUGGGACUGUCUUCCCCUCCCCUGUGUUCCCCUUCCCUGUGUUCCCCUAAGUUGGUGUGAGUGAGGAAGCGUGCUUGUGCUUUAGCCCCGCCUUUAGAAAUAGAGCAGUGUAGCUUAGACUUCCCAGGAGGGAAAGAGGAGCUCUGUGCAGCCACAGGCGGGUGCCCAAAAUGCACGGGUGGAGAAAGCAUCCGGCCUUGCCCCUGCUUUCUGAGGACGGCGCCAAGCCCCUUAGCGGCAGCGUGGGCAGCGUGACCCACCUGUAGCCAGGGCCUGGGCGGGCGCCCACGCUGCCGGUGGUGCUGGUGAGCUGCCAGCGUGCGGGCCCUGUACUCGGGGCACGUGUCAGGACCUUUUGCAGCGCCCUUUGUCCCCAGGAGCAGCCCCUCCCAGGUCCCUGUAAGCAGGGCUGGGGAGGCUCCUUUAGCCGGGUGACAGGAACCAGCGCUCCCGGGCCCUUGCCAGGGGGCAGGCUGAAGAAGCGCUGUGCCGCAGGGCACGGUCCCGCCUUUGCCAUUGCUAUGGGCUGGCGGCGCGUUCCUGGCGGCCUUGUUGAGGAGGCUCCCGGGGCUCCUGCAGACGGCUGCGUUGCCGUGCCGCGCUGCGGCCGGGCUGCGGCCUGUCCCUAAGUGGGGCGCAGGCCGCAGCCCGUGCUCCGUAGCGCUUGUUGGGGGGUGCCGGGCAGCAGGGGGCGGCCCCGUAAGUGGGGUUUUGUGCGUCCCCUGGCCUCGGCGGGCGGUUGGAGGGACCCCCUGUAAUCAGGCGGGUAUCCCUGGCCCCGGCCUUUCAGAGGCGUGGGGCCAGGAGUCAUGGGGCCGGGCGUGUGCCCUCCCCGUCCUCGGGGCUGGGCUCGCGGGCCCUGGGGCCACGCGGCUUUAGGCCGUGGGCUCCACUGCCUGAUCCUAGAGUCUGGUUCCUGUUGCCUUGGGGGAAGGCCGAGCUCCGUGGCUCCCUGGGUGUGGACCGGCCUGUAAGCAGGCUGCGGGUCUGGGAGCCUUUGUGCUCCCUUCAGCUGGCAGCCUGCCUGGGGCGCCCGCCCCGUUAGCGGGGAGCGCCCCGGAACUGGAGAAAAGGAGCCUCCAUAGGCCCUGCGGGCCAGAGCCGCCCUGUAAGUCGGGGCCAGUGCUCUGGAGUCCCGGGCACUUUGCAGUCCAGGCAGCGGCUUGAGCCCCCUGUAAGCAGGGCUGCAGCCUCUUGGCCGCUGCUUUGCAUGCCCAGCUUCAUUUGCCCAGAGGGCCCGGCUCCCAGCGCGGCGUGGGACUGCGCCGGACGUUGCCAUGAAGCCCUGGGACGGCGAGGCAAGAGCGAGCCGCAGGAGCGGCGUCUGCGGGCUCAAGAGCGGAACGGCGAGGCAAGAUCGAGCCGCCGGAGCGGCGUCUGCGGGCUCAAGAGUGGAACGGCGAGGCAAGAGCAAGCUU